rnacentral:misc_RNA from 1 species
GGGUUCCUGGGGCUGGCGGAAAAAUCAUGAUCUCAAUCAACCCCACGAUGAAGCGUUAGCAUUCCUCAGCCAUCCGUUAAACAAUUUAUCAUGGGCAAUAUAUUACGUGGCUAGAUUCGUCGCCGUGGUCGUUAUGGCGUCAAAAACUACGACGACAGGGAAAAAUGCAAUAAUUCAUAUACUGAAUAUUAGAAGAGGCAACAUGGAGUUCGCCACGAAAGAGGAGUUGGUCCUAUUUUACGACCAUGUCACGUCGAGGAAGGU